GCUUUGGGAUAACCCUCGGAAACGGGGGCUAAUACCGAAUAGGACCACCGGUCGCAUGGUUGGUGGUGGAAAGUUUUUCGGCCUGGGAUGGGCUCGCGGCCUAUCAGCUUGUUGGUGGGGUGAUGGCCUACCAAGGCGACGACGGGUAGCCGGCCUGAGAGGGCGACCGGCCACACUGGGACUGAGACACGGCCCAGACUCCUACGGGAGGCAGCAGUGGGGAAUAUUGCACAAUGGGCGGAAGCCUGAUGCAGCGACGCCGCGUGAGGGAUGACGGCCUUCGGGUUGUAAACCUCUUUCAGCAGGGACGAAGCGUAAGUGACGGUACCUGCAGAAGAAGCACCGGCCAACUACGUGCCAGCAGCCGCGGUAAGACGUAGGGUGCGAGCGUUGUCCGGAUUUAUUGGGCGUAAAGAGCUCGUAGGCGGCUUGUCGCGUCGACCGUGAAAACUUGGGGCUCAACUCCAAGCCUGCGGUCGAUACGGGCAGGCUAGAGUUCGGUAGGGGAGACUGGAAUUCCUGGUGUAGCGGUGAAAUGCGCAGAUAUCAGGAGGAACACCGGUGGCGAAGGCGGGUCUCUGGGCCGAUACUGACGCUGAGGAGCGAAAGCGUGGGGAGCGAACAGGAUUAGAUACCCUGGUAGUCCACGCUGUAAACGUUGGGCGCUAGGUGUGGGGGGCCUCUCCGGUUCCCUGUGCCGCAGCUAACGCAUUAAGCGCCCCGCCUGGGGAGUACGGCCGCAAGGCUAAAACUCAAA
rnacentral:rRNA from 1 species